rnacentral:rRNA from 1 species
GACGAACGCUGGCGGCGUGCUUAACACAUGCAAGUCGAACGGAAAGGCCCUGCUUGCAGGGUACUCGAGUGGCGAACGGGUGAGUAACACGUGGGUGAUCUGCCCUGCACUUCGGGAUAAGCCUGGGAAACUGGGUCUAAUACCGGAUAGGAGCCAUUUUUAGUGUGAUGGUUGGAAAGUUUUUUCGGUGUAGGAUGAGCUCGCGGCCUAUCAGCUUGUUGGUGGGGUAAUGGCCUACCAAGGCGGCGACGGGUAGCCGGCCUGAGAGGGUGGACGGCCAAAUUGGGACUGAGAUACGGCCAAGACUCCACCGGGAGGCAGAGGUGGGGAAUAUUGCACAAUGGGGGCAGGCUGGAUGCAGCAAGGCCGGGUGGGGGAUGACGGCCUUCGGUUGGUAAACCCCUUCCGCAGGGGACGAAGCUUUUGUGACGGUAACUAGGAAAGAAGCACCGGCUAAAUACGUG